AUGGCUGGCAUUUUUGUUCUUAAGGAGUUCAUGGCGAGUCAGAUGAUAAACUAGUGGCUCGAGCUUCCCCUAGCUAAAUCGGGUUAUGACUUUAUAUUGAAUUUGGAGGGAAGCUGAUCAGUGCAAGAUAGCUGUGUGUGUUUAUUGUUGUUUAGUGCUUGGCAGACGCAUGAAGCUGUCAAUAUGAAUAGUCUCCAAGCCUUCCAAUUGCCAAGUCCUUUUAGUGCUACGUAGGAUAACAACAAAAAAAAAAAAAAAA